UAGGGAAUCUUCGGCAAUGGACGAAAGUAUGACCGAGCAACGCCGCGUGAGUGAAGAAGGUUUUCGGAUCGUAAAACUCUGUUGUUAGAGAAGAACAAGGACGUUAGUAACUGAACGUCCCCUGACGGUAUCUAACCAGAAAGCUACGGCUAACUACGUGCCAGCAGCCGCGGUAAUACGUAGGUGGCAAGCGUUGUCCGGAUUUAUUGGGCGUAAAGCGCGCGCAGGCGGUUUCUUAAGUCUGAUGUGAAAGCCCCCGGCUCAACCGGGGAGGGUCAUUAGAACCUGGGGGACUUGAGUGCAGACGAGGAGAGUGGAAUUCCAUGUGUAGCGGUGAAAUGCGUAGCUAUAUGGAGGAACACCAGUGGCGAAGGCGGCUCUCUGGUCUGUAACUGACGCUCAGGUGCGAAAGCGUGGGGAGCAAACAGG
rnacentral:rRNA from 1 species